rnacentral:tRNA from 1 species
GACCUGGUAGCUCAGUAGGUAGAGCAUCUCCCUUUUAAGGAGAGGGUCCUGAGUUCGAGCCUCAGCCAGGUCACUA